CAGCAGCCGCGGUAAUACCGGCGGCCCUAGUGGCGGCCACUAUUAUUGGGCUUAAAGCGUCCGUAGCCGGGUUGGUUAGUCUCCCGGGAAAUCUGGCCGCUUAACGGUCAGAAUUCCGGGAGAUACUGCCAGCCUAGGGACCGGGAGAGGCCGAGGGUAUUCCCGGAGUAGGGGUGAAAUCCUAUAAUCCCGGGAGGACCACCUGUGGCGAAGGCGCUCGGCUGGAACGGGUCCGACGGUGAGGGACGAAGGCCAGGGGAGCAAACCGGAUUAGAUACCCGGGUAGUCCUGGCGGUAAACGAUGCGGACUUUGUGUCGGACAAGCUAUGAGCUUGUCCGGUGCCGGAGGGAAACCGUUAAGUCCGCCGCCUGGGGAGUACGGCCGCAAGGCUGAAACUUAAAGGAAUUGGCGGG
rnacentral:rRNA from 1 species